rnacentral:rRNA from 1 species
UCGGGAAUUUUGGGCAAUGGGCGAAAGCCUGACCCAGCAACGCCGCGUGAGGGAUGAAGGCCUUCGGGUCGUAAACCUCUGUCGGGAGGGACGAAAGGCGCGCGGGUGAACAAUCCGCGUACUUGACGGUACCUCCUAAGGAAGCGCCGGCUAACUCCGUGCCAGCAGCCGCGGUAAUACGGAGGGCGCAAGCGUUGUUCGGAAUUACUGGGCGUAAAGCGCGUGUAGGCGGCCAGGUAAGUCGGAUGUGAAAGCCCGGGGCCCAACCCCGGAAUUGCACCCGAUACUGCCUGGCUGGAGUCCCGGAGAGGAUGGCGGAAUUUCCGGUGUAGAGGUGAAAUUCGUAGAUAUCGGAAGGAACACCAGUGGCGAAGGCGGCCAUCUGGACGGUGACUGACGCUGAGACGCGAAAGCGUGGGGAGCAAACAGGAUUAGAUACCCUGGUAGUCCACGCCGUAAACGUUGGGUGCUAGACGUCGGGGGUAUUGACCCUCCGGUGUCGAAGCUAACGCAUUAAGCA